rnacentral:rRNA from 1 species
UUGAACGCUGGCGGCAGGCCUAACCCAUGCCAGUCGAGCGGAUGAAGGGAGCUUGCUCCUGGAUUCAGCGGCGGACGGGUGAGUAAUGCCUAGGAAUCUGCCUGGUAGUGGGGGAUAACGUCCGGAAACGGGCGCUAAUACCGCAUACGUCCUGAGGGAGAAAGUGGGGGAUCUUCGGACCUCACGCUAUCAGAUGAGCCUAGGUCGGAUUAGCUAGUUGGUGGGGUAAAGGCCUACCAAGGCGACGAUCCGUAACUGGUCUGAGAGGAUGAUCAGUCACACUGGAACUGAGACACGGUCCAGACUCCUACGGGAGGCAGCAGUGGGGAAUAUUGGACAAUGGGCGAAAGCCUGAUCCAGCCAUGCCGCGUGUGUGAAGAAGGUCUUCGGAUUGUAAAGCACUUUAAGUUGGGAGGAAGGGCAGUAAGUUAAUUCCUUGCUGUUUUGACGUUACCAACAGAAUAAGCACCGGCUAACUUCGUG